CAAACUACUGCAAGUGACGCCAACUGUUUGGCACUCGCCCAGGUAGCCAAGAUCCUCAAGGCUACGACGCGGUCCUGAUCGCGUUGAUCCAACGGCCUGCCCCCCCUCCCGCAGGUACACCGAUCCCAUCAGGCGGUGC
rnacentral:ncRNA from 1 species